CGGGGUAUAGCGCAGUUGGUAGCGCGCUUGUCUGGGGGGCAAGAGGUCGUGGGUUCAAGUCCCGCUACUCCGACCA
rnacentral:tRNA from 1 species